rnacentral:lncRNA from 1 species
AGAUAAGGAGGCCAAAGCACCAGCAGGAGCGACCGUCACUGGAGGUCAGGCAUAGUUCACAGGGCCUGGAACUGGGGAUUGGACCUGGAUCCUUGAGCUGAUUCUUGCGCCUCAACCUCUCUUCCCAGAUGCCCACCGCCCCCAACCGCGCACCCCUGCAGAUGGGACGCUGCCCUCGAGGCUCUCCCUCCGCUUGCUUCCCCCAAUGGUGGGGUCCACCCCAGACCCGGGAGCCCCUCCCUCAGUCCCUGCUCCUCGUGGCCCUUCUUGUAAUCCUUUCCCCAGACUCCUCCCACCUCCCCGCCUCUGGCACAAAUCCCGCAAGUAUAUGUUCCUCUCUCCUCAUCUCUCUCACUAAGAAAGUCAAUCCCACAAGACAUCCCCCAAAGGAAAGAAUGAAAUAAAACAGUCCCCCAUGUCUAGCCCGA